rnacentral:rRNA from 1 species
UACAGAGGUCUCAAGCGUUGUUCGGAUUCAUUGGGCGUAAAGGGCGCGUAGGCGGUGGGGUAAGUCUGGUGUGAAAUCUCGGAGCUCAACUUCGAAAUUGCACUGGAUACUGCUCUGCUAGAGGGCUGGAGAGGAGAUCGGAAUUCACGGUGUAGCAGUGAAAUGCGUAGAUAUCGUAAGGAAGACCAGUGGCGAAGGCGGGGUCUCUGGACAGUUCCUGACGCUGAGGCACGAAGGCCAGGGGGAGCAAACAGG